AAGUCGACUCAUUUAAGCGUGUUUCAGAAGAGUGGAGUCAUUUGUUACCACACACUGAAGAUGAAAGGCAGUCGUGCAGCAUCUUGCUCCUGGAUAUUGUACUUGAUGGCGGUUUCUUUCGCCCUGGAAGUCACCGAGUCCCCCUCCUCGCAGUCCGUUCUGCUCGGUCAGACAGCGCAGUUUUCGUGCACACUCUCCAGAGGCAAAGCUCGUUAUUUCUACUGGAGAAGAAUCCCGCUGUUUCCUAACGGCACUUGGGGGCAUGAAGAGGACGUGGUCGGUGGCAUCCAGCAGCAAUCUAACUCGUCCAGUGUCCUGGUUAUUAAAAACGUGUCCGUUUCUGAUGCGGGGAAGUACAUCUGUACCGCUUUCCCAACUUGCCCUGGAAAUAGUCAGUUAGUUGUAGGGCAUGGAGCAGCAUUAUCCGUUAAAGCCAUCCCGAAGCUGGAGAUUCUCUCAGAUUCAACAGCUAACAAGCUUGAUCACCUUACCCUGACUUGCAGGGCUAUGGAUUUCUACCCACCUAACGUCACUCUCCUCUGGGACCACUCUCUUCCUGGGGUGCCUCACGCCACACAACAAGAAAACCCCACAACCCCGAACAACGGGACAUUCAGCAGCAGCUCUGUUCUGCAUGUGAACACCUCGCUGUGGAGGCCGGAGAAAGAAAUUGGAUGUCUGGUGAAUCACAGCUCGGUGACACAGCUGCUGAAAAAAUACAUUAAGAGACCAGUGGCUCUCAAAGUAAAUCUCAAGUCAAAAGUAUCCUUCGCCAGCCCCGACUUCCUCACCCUAACUUGCUCAGCGGUUGGAUUCUACCCCUCAAAUGUCACCAUGUCCUGGGAUCAUUCCCUCCCCACUAAUCUCUCAUACAAACCCCAGGAGAUGCCCAUACUCCUACAAGAUGGUACCUACAGCAGCAGCUCCAGCUUGCAAGUAAAUAGCUCAGUUUGGAUCCCGGGCACGGAGAUCGGCUGUGAGGUGAAUCACAGCUCUCUGAUACGACCGCUGAGGGAAACAAUCAGGAGAGGAGAUGUCCCCAAAUUUAAUGGAAUCUACCAGAGCACCCAGUGGUUCCUGCGUAUAUGUCUGCUGUUUCUGGGUUUGACAUUACUGAUUUUACCAGUAAUUAUGGUUCACUUUAGAGCUAACAUGAGGAUGAGAUCUGACCUGCAAGAGCCCUCAAAGGAAGCAGUUGAACUUGAGACCCAAAAAAAGAAGACCAGUCCAAGCGUAAGGAACGAGAAUUUCAACAUUUACGAUACACUGAUUUAGAACAAAAUAAAUAUUUACAAGACUCUUUGCUGUCCUGUCCUAGUUGCCAGUGAAAAUGUCGAGCACUUAUGAAAGGAUUGUGGUUCCAAUUUUCACAGAUGAGCUAAAUCAGGGCAGAACCAGCUAACACCAGGCUUUUAGUUUCUCUGCCUUCUUUACACAUUGUAUAGCAACUUUUAGCAUACAAACUAAACUGCUAGAAUGCGGGGAUUAAGUGUAAAAACCUCUAUUUCAAACAUAGUAUCUGUAUGGAAGCACACACAUAACCAAGGAUUAAUAAAGCUUCAUUCUUUUUAAAUUG